rnacentral:rRNA from 1 species
UGGGGAAUCUUGCACAAUGUGCGCAAGCCUGAUGCAGCCAUGCCGCGUGUAUGAAGAAGGCCUUCGGGUUGUAAAGUACUUUCAGCGGUGAGGAAGGGAGUAAAGUUAAUACCUUUGCUCAUUGACGUUACCCGCAGAAGAAGCACCGGCUAACUCCGUGCCAGCAGCCGCGGUAAUACGGAGGGUGCAAGCGUUAAUCGGAAUUACUGGGCGUAAAGCGCACGCAGGCGGUUUGUUAAGUCAGAUGUGAAAUCCCCGGGCUCAACCUGGGAACUGCAUCUGAUACUGGCAAGCUAGAGUCUGGUAGAGGGGAGUAGAAUUCCAGGUGUAGCGGUGAAAUGCGUAGAGAUCUGGAGGAAUACCGGUGGCGAAGGCGGCCCCAUGGACGAAGACUGACGCUCAGGUGCGAAAGCGUGGGGAGCAAACAGG